rnacentral:rRNA from 1 species
GUGGGGAAUUUUGGACAAUGGGCGCAAGCCUGAUCCAGCAAUGCCGCGUGCAGGAAGAAGGCCUUCGGGUUGUAAACUGCUUUUGUACGGAACGAAACGGUCCGGGUUAAUACCCUGGGCUAAUGACGGUACCGUAAGAAUAAGCACCGGCUAACUACGUGCCAGCAGCCGCGGUAAUACGUAGGGUGCAAGCGUUAAUCGGAAUUACUGGGCGUAAAGCGUGCGCAGGCGGUUUUGUAAGACAGGCGUGAAAUCCCCGGGCUCAACCUGGGAAUUGCGCUUGUGACUGCAAGGCUGGAGUGCGGCAGAGGGGGAGGGAAUUCCGCGUGUAGCAGUGAAAUGCGUAGAUAUGCGGAGGAACACCGAUGGCGAAGGCAAUCCCCUGGGCCUGCACUGACGCUCAUGCACGAAAGCGUGGGGAGCAAACAGGAUUAGAUACCCUAGUAGUCC